AAAACCACCUAAAAUAAAUGUGAUACAGAUACUAGCCAGGACAAGGGGGUUCCGAUGGGCAGAAGCGUAUAAGUCCAAUUUAUGUGUAGAAGUCGCUUGAGUUGGGCCUUGGGUUAUAGUAUAAAUCAAGAGUGGGUAUCUUCAGAUGUAAUUGAAUGGAUGUAACAGAGGUAAAAUUUCAAGUACCGUAAUGACUAAUAUGGCAGUGACAAAUUUUGGGGAGGCUAGGGUACCACCUUAAGUGUGCCAAGUCAUGAAGGAAAUGCUUAAGUUUGCUUAGCAUCUUUCCGAGACUCACACAAGGAGGAUUUGGAAAGAUGUCUAAUACAACCAAAAGAGGAGAAUCAAAAGAUCAACAAUGAUUGCUUUAAAAUGUUGGCUUCUGCCAGUGUUGCCCCAAGUAUAUUUAUCCCUCUUCCUUUCUACUCCUCAAUUUUCAGACACUUUGAUGAAACAGAAUAAAACUGUACUUUUUUUUUUAGAUAUUCCUAUGCAUUCUACUGCUUUAAUCCCACCUAAGUAGAGAUGUCCACAACAGAGAGAAUGGAGCUGUCACAUCGUUUCAACUGCCCAGGAAAGGACUCAGGCAACAAAUAAACAGCUAAGAUUUUACUAGAGUAUGAAAGGGAGAGCACUGGAGUGCAGUGCGGGGAUGGAGAUGCAGCUGUGGUGGCUGGAAGUACAGGAGGGCAGCUGGAGGCACCUGGCCUCUGAAGCCUGUCUUCUUCAUCUGGGUGAGAUCUGCUGGAGUCAGGAAGGACUUCCUGCUGCAAGGAUAAAGGUGAAGUGUGGUGGCGUAAUCAUGACUCACUGCAGCCUCGAACUCCGGGACUCAAGCUAAUCUCUUUCCUCAGCCUUCCCAGCAGCUGGGACUACAGAAUCCCACCCAUCCUAAGGCAUUACAUUUAGUCAUCAUAGCUCUUUCUUCACAGAAUUAGAAAAAACUACUUUAAAUUUCAUAUGGAACCAAAAAAGAGCCCAUAUAGCCAAGAAAAUCUUAAGCAAAAAGAACAAAGAUGGAGGCAUCAUGCUAACUGACUUCAAACUAUACUACAAGGCUACAGUAACCAAAACAGCAUGGUACUGGUGCCAAAACAGAUAUAUAGACCAAUGGAAUAGAACAGAGGCCUCAGAAAAACGUCACCCAUCUACAACCAUCUGAUCUUCAACAAAUCUGACAAAAACAAAUAAUGGGGAAGAAAUUCUGUAUUUAAUAAAUGAUCUUGGGAAAACUGGCUAGCCACAUGCAGAAAACUGAAGCUGGGCUCCUUCCUUACACCUUAUACAAAAAUUAACUCAAGAUGGAUUAAAGACUUAAACGUAAGACCUAAAACCAUAGAAACCCUAGAAGAAUACCUAGGCAAUACCAUUGAGGACACAGACAUGGGCAAAUGACUAAAGCAACAAAAGCCAAAAUUGACAAAUGGGAGCUAAUUAAACUAAAGAGCUUCUGAACAGCAAAAGAAACUAUCAUCAGAGUGAACAGGCAACCUACAGAAUGGGAGAAAAUUUUUGCAAUCUAUCCACCUGACAAAGGGCUAAUAUCCAGAAUCUACAAAUAACUUAAACAAAUUUACAAGAAAAAAAACAAACAACCCCAUCAAGAAGUGGGUGAAGGAUAUGAAAAGACACUUCUCAAAAGAAGACAUUUAUGUGGCCAACAAACAUGAAAAAAAGCUCAUCAUCACUGGGCAUUAGAGAAAUGCAAAUCAAAACCACAAUGAGAUACCAUCUCACGCCAGUUAGAAUGGCGAUCUUUAAAAAGUCAGGAAACAACAGAUGCUGGAGAGGAUGUGGAGAGAUAGGAAUGCUUUUACACUGUUGGUAGGAGUGUAAAUUAGUUCAGCAAUUGUGGAAGACUGUGUGGAGAUUCCUCAAGGAUCUAGAACCAGAAAUGCCAUUUGACCGAGCAAUCCCAUUACUGGCUAUAUACCCAAAGGAUUAUAAAUCAUUCUACUAUAGAGACACAUCCACCUGUAUGUUGAUUGCAGCACUGUUCACAAUAGCAAAGACUUGGAACCAAUGCAAAUGCCCAUCAAUGAUCGGCUGGAUAAAGAAAAUGUGGCACAUAUACACCGUGAAAUACUAUGUAGCCAUAAAAAAGGAUGAGUUCAUGUCCUUUGCAGGGAUAUGGAUGAAGCUGGAAACCAUCAUUCUCUGCAAACUAAUACAGGAACAGAAUGCCAAACACCACAUGUUCUCACUCAUAAGUGGGAGUUGAACAAUGAGAACACAUGAAUACCGGGAGGGAACAUCACACACCAGGGCCUGUCAGAGGGUCGGGGGCUAGGGAAGGGAUAGCAUUAGGAGAAAUACCUAAUGUAGAUUAUGGGUUGAUGGGUGCAGCAAACCACCAUGGCACAUGUAUAGCUAUGUAACAAACCUGCACGUUCUACACAUGUAUCCCAGAACUUAAAGCAUAAGUAAAAUAAAAAAAUAAUUAAAUGAGGAAGAAGAGUCAAAUUUUUGUGCAGAAAAAUUUGAAAGAAUUUAUGUAGAUACUACUUCCUCAAUGAGGAAGAGCAUAACUCUAUGCUCUUUAAGUCGGACAUGAACAUACUCAUUUCUUUCAAAAGAGUACAAUAUGAAAAGAGGGAAAAAGAAUAACUGUACAGUAAAGAAACCUGACAAUUGCUACCUUGGCCAAGUGACCCAGGUCAACAUCAACAGUGAUAGUGACGUUUAUGUCAUGUCCACUUGAAAUGAUGUGAUUAAAAAAAGGCACUUUACCUCUGUGUUCUUCUUCCUAUUCCCAUAAUUCCAG
rnacentral:lncRNA from 1 species